GAUGAACGCUGGCGGUAUGCCUUACACAUGCAAGUCGUACGAGAGUUUUUAACUCAAGUGGCGGACGGGUGAGUAACACGUAAGAAUUUGCCUUUAGGAGGGGGAUAACAACUGGAAACGGUUGCUAAUACCCCAUAUGCUUUCGAGUGAAAUGGAUUUCCGCCUAGAGAGAAGCUUGCGGCUGAUUAGCUUGUUGGUGAGGUAAUGGCUCACCAAGGCGACGAUCAGUAUCUGGUUUGAGAGGACGAUCAGACACACUGGAACUGAGACACGGUCCAGACUCCUACGGGAGGCAGCAGUGGGGAAUUUUCCGCAAUGGGCGAAAGCCUGACGGAGCAAUACCGCGUGAGGGAUGACGGCCUAUGGGUUGUAAACCUCUUUUUUCAGGGAGGAAUCAAUGACGUGUACCUGAAGAAUAAGCAUCGGCUAACUCCGUGCCAGCAGCCGCGGUAAGACGGAGGAUGCAAGUGUUAUCCGGAAUCACUGGGCGUAAAGCGUCUGUAGGUGGUUUAAUAAGUCAACUGUUAAAUCUUGAGGCUCAACCUCAAAAUCGCAGUCGAAACUAUUAGACUAGAGUAUAGUAGGGGUAAAGGGAAUUUCCAGUGGAGCGGUGAAAUGCGUAGGUAUUGGAAGGAACACCGAUGGCGAAGGCACUUUACUGGGCUAUUACUAACACUCAGAGACGAAAGCUAGGGUAGCAAAUGGGAUUAGAUACCCCAGUAGUCCUAGCUGUAAACAAUGGAUACUAGAUGUUGAACAGAUCGACCUGUGCAGUAUCAAAGCUAACGCGUUAAGUAUCC
rnacentral:rRNA from 1 species